rnacentral:rRNA from 1 species
CUAGUUGGUGGGGUAAAGGCUUACCAAGGCAACGAUCAGUAGCUGGUCUGAGAGGACGACCAUCCCCACUGGGACUGAGACACGUUCCAGACUCCUACGGGAGGCAGCAGUGGGGAAUUUUGGACAAUGGGCGAAAGCCUGAUCCAGCCAUGCCGCGUGAGUGAAGAAGGCCUUCGGGUUGUAAAGCUCUUUCGAUCGGGAAGAAAUAGUUAUGGCUAAUAUCCAUAAUGAAUGACGGUACCGACAUAAGAAGCACCGGCUAACUACGUGCCAGCAGCCGCGGUAAUUUUUAGGGUGCAAGCGUUAAUCGGAAUUAUUGGGCGUAAAGGGUGCGCAGGCGGAUGUAUAAGUCAGAUGUGAAAUCCCUGGGCUUAACCUGGGAAUUGCGUUUGAAACUACAAGGCUAAGGG